rnacentral:rRNA from 1 species
GAUGAACGCUGGCGGCGUGCCUAAUACAUGCAAGUCGAGCGAACAGACGAGGAGCUUGCUCCUCUGACGUUAGCGGCGGACGGGUGAGUAACACGUGGAUAACCUACCUAUAAGACUGGGAUAACUUCGGGAAACCGGAGCUAAUACCGGAUAAUAUAUUGAACCGCAUGGUUCAAUAGUGAAAGACGGUUUUGCUGUCACUUAUAGAUGGAUCCGCGCCGCAUUAGCUAGUUGGUAAGGUAACGGCUUACCAAGGCGACGAUGCGUAGCCGACCUGAGAGGGUGAUCGGCCACACUGGAACUGAGACACGGUCCAGACUCCUACGGGAGGCAGCAGUAGGGAAUCUUCCGCAAUGGGCGAAAGCCUGACGGAGCAAUGCCGCGUGAGUGAUGAAGGCCUUCGGAUCGUAAAGCUCUGUUAUUAGGGAAGAACAAAUGUGUAAGUAACUAUGCACGUCCUGACGGUACCUAAUCAGAAAGCCACGGCUAACUACGUG